rnacentral:rRNA from 1 species
UGGGGAAUAUUGCACAAUGGGCGCAAGCCUGAUGCAGCCAUGCCGCGUGUAUGAAGAAGGCCUUCGGGUUGUAAAGUACUUUCAGCGGGGAGGAAGGGAGUAAAGUUAAUACCUUUGCUCAUUGACGUUACCCGCAGAAGAAGCACCGGCUAACUCCGUGCCAGCAGCCGCGGUAAUACGUAGGUGGCAAGCGUUGUCCGGAUUUAUUGGGCGUAAAGCGAGCGCAGGCGGUUUCUUAAGUCUGAUGUGAAAGCCCCCGGCUCAACCGGGGAGGGUCAUUGGAAACUGGGAGACUUGAGUGCAGAAGAGGAGAGUGGAAUUCCAUGUGUAGCGGUGAAAUGCGUAGAUAUAUGGAGUAACACCAGUGGCGAAGGCGGCUCUCUGGUCUGUAACUGACGCUGAGGCUCGAAAGCGUGGGGAGCAAACAGG